AUUUAAAGCAUAGUGCUACACUACCUGUUAUCCUUUAGAAAAUGUGUUUUCUCAUUAGAUAAGUUGUAUGGGAAUUGUUGAAUCACGGCCUGAACCUCUAAUUGAUCACCUGAGACAAGCACUGAGUCAGCCAUGGGAGCACAGGUGAAGGCAAUUCAGCCGAGUGACCAGAAGGGAUGGAGCCUGGCUGCACCUCUCCUAGACCCCAUUUAAGGGCUGACUGCGACGGAGGAAGGAUCUCUCUCUGGAGAUUGCUGCUCUUGGUGUCUUUUUCUAUCAGCUAAGGACAUGAGUAAGCUUUUCCGUUCUUUUCUGUUUAUCUCUCUUUAAAGUAAUAAUUGUUCCAGCUCUAUGCUCUCUAAAGACCAGCUUAACUUCUCUGUAUACUUGUCAAUUAUCUGUCUGUAUAUUUGUUGAUGAUACGUAGGUCUAUGUUACUUUAAGUCCAAAAGCGGUGAGAAACAGAAAGAUUCAGUGUAUAGGAGCACUAAACAUUGAAAGGUUUUGUGUCUGAGAGCCUAGCAUCACAGUACAAAUUCCCAAACUUUCUUUUCAAAUCCAGAACAAACAGAUGCUACUUCAGGAGCCAGACUGACUGCUGUGGGCUGGAUCUUUCUUCAUGCUGUACUGCUACUGUAGGCAGGUUAAAUCGGGGGAGAAAUUCUUGACAAACAUAGACAACAGUGAAUACUCAAAACCUCACUCAGUCCUGCUUUCUCAUCAGCCACAAACAUAGUCCUACUCUGGUCCCUAUAAAGGUGCUAAAACUUAAUCUACUACUUUAAAUUGCACUCCACUGGGGCUAAAUAGCAGUCACUUGCAUGGACAGUCCUUACAUGUAUUAGCCCCAGCAUCAUUUUAACACAGCUUUAGGAGUGGAUUAAUGUAUUGUUUUUACUUAUGGUAAGUAUUGCUGCAGUGUAGUUAAUUUGUACUGUAGUCUUAUAGCAGCAGUGCCACAGAUUUUUUUUUCUGGUUCUCUGUGCUCUAUGCCUUGAGGUAAACACGUGAAGGGAAGCAAGGCUGGUCAUUUAAGGGUUUCUGCCAGGGAAAAAAGGCUGUCUGGUGCUGGCCUGGUGCCUGAGUUUCGAGGGUAAGAUAGUGUCUUAGCUAGACCAGGCUCUGUAAAAUGAUUUUAAGUCUGCUAAUGUUUGUGUUAGACCUGCGAGUUAUCUGCAUAGACC
rnacentral:lncRNA from 1 species